rnacentral:rRNA from 1 species
GAGAGUUUGAUCCUGGCUCAGGACGAACGCUGGCGGCGUGCUUAACACAUGCAAGUCGAACGGAGCACCCUUGAUUGAGGUUUCGGCCAAAUGAUAGGAAUGCUUAGUGGCGGACUGGUGAGUAACGCGUGAGGAACCUGCCUUUCAGAGGGGGACAACAGUUGGAAACGACUGCUAAUACCGCAUGACGCAUUUUGAUCGCAUGGUCGAAAUGCCAAAGAUUUAUCGCUGAAAGAUGGCCUCGCGUCUGAUUAGCUAGUUGGUGAGGUAACGGCCCACCAAGGCGACGAUCAGUAGCCGGACUGAGAGGUUGGCCGGCCACAUUGGGACUGAGAUACGGCCCAGACUCCUACGGGAGGCAGCAGUGGGGAAUAUUGGGCAAUGGGCGCAAGCCUGACCCAGCAACGCCGCGUGAAGGAAGAAGGCUUUCGGGUUGUAAACUUCUUUUAAGUGGGAAGAGUAGAAGACGGUACCACUUGAAUAAGCCACGGCUAACUACGUGCCAGCAGCCGCGGUAAUACGUAGGUGGCAAGCGUUGUCCGGAUUUACUGGGUGUAAAGGGCGUGCAGCCGGGCAUGCAAGUCAGAUGUGAAAUCUCAGGGCUUAACCCUGAAACUGCAUUUGAAACUGUAUGUCUUGAGUGCCGGAGAGGUAAUCGGAAUUCCUUGUGUAGCGGUGAAAUGCGUAGAUAUAAGGAAGAACACCAGUGGCGAAGGCGGAUUACUGGACGGUAACUGACGGUGAGGCGCGAAAGCGUGGGGAGCGAACAGGAUUAGAUACCCUGGUAGUCCACGCUGUAAACGAUGGAUACUAGGUGUGCGGGGACUGACCCCCUGCGUGCCGCAGUUAACACAAUAAGUAUCCCACCUGGGGAGUACGAUCGCAAGGUUGAAACUCAAAGGAAUUGACGGGGGCCCGCACAAGCGGUGGAUUAUGUGGUUUAAUUCGAAGCAACGCGAAGAACCUUACCAGGUCUUGACAUCCUGCUAACGAAGUAGAGAUACAUUAGGUGCCCUUCGGGGAAAGCAGAGACAGGUGGUGCAUGGUUGUCGUCAGCUCGUGUCGUGAGAUGUUGGGUUAAGUCCCGCAACGAGCGCAACCCCUAUUGUUAGUUGCUACGCAAGAGCACUCUAGCGAGACUGCCGUUGACAAAACGGAGGAAG